GAUGAACGCUGGCGGCGUGCCUAAUACCUGCAAGUCGAGCGAACGGACGAGAAGCUUGCUUCUCUGAUGUUAGCGGCGGACGUGUGAGUAACCCGUGGAUAACCUACCUAUAAGACUGGGAUAACUUCGGGAAACAGGAGCUAAUACCGGAUAAUAUUUUGAACCGCAUGGUUCAAAAGUGAAAGACGGUCUUGCUGUCACUUAUAGAUGGAUCCGCGCUGCAUUAGCUAGUUGGUAAGGUAACGGCUUACCAAGGCAACGAUGCAUAGCCGACCUGAGAGGGUGAUCGGCCACACUAGAACUGAGACACGGUCCAGACUCCUACGGGAGGCAGCAGUAGGGAAUCUUCCGCAAUGGGCGAAAGCCUGACGGAGCAACGCCGCGUGAGUGAUGAAGGUCUUCGGAUCGUAAAACUCUGUUAUUAGGGAAGAACAUAUGUGUAAGUAACUGUGCACAUCUUGACGGUACCUAAUCAGAAAGCCACGGCUAACUACGUG
rnacentral:rRNA from 1 species